rnacentral:RNase_P_RNA from 1 species
UCAGACAGCCGGAUGGCCGCGCACUGCGCCCGUGGGCGCGAGAGCGAGGAAAGUCCGGGCUCCACGCGGACAUGGUGCCGGGUAACGCCCGGCGGGGGUGACCCCAGGGAAAGUGCCACAGAAAGCAAACCGCCCGCCGCGGCCCGUGCGGGCCAAGGGCGGGCAAGGGUGAAAGGGUGCGGUAAGAGCGCACCGCGGCCCUGGCGACAGGGCCGGCAUGGCAAACCCCACCAGGAGCAAGACCAAAUAGGGACGACCGGCUGUGUGCCGGGGGUUGUUCGCGCCCCUGUCGUCCGGGUUGGUCGCUAGAGGCCGGCAGCAAUGCCGGUCCCAGAGGAAUGGCCAUCGCCGCCAUGGCUUGCCAUGGCGCGUACAGAACCCGGCUUACAGGCUGUCUGGCCCC